GCCCCUCGCGCGCCGGCCCCGCCCCCGCGGGGGGGAGCGAGCGCUCGCGGGCCCCGUGGUGGGUUCGGCUGCGCGGCGGGGCUGAGGCGGCCGCGAAGGUCCGAGCGCAGAAAGUGGACACUGGGUUCCUGAACCUCCUCACUGAAGACAGCCAGGCCUCAAGCACAGGGGGACUUCGAAAGUCAUAGUGAGACCCUGCUUUUGUCCUUCCACCCUGGACCCAUCACUACCGACACAGAAAUUUCCUUCAGGCCCAGGAAGAGACCCAAACUCUACAUGGAUGGCCUGCCCAUUUUUGACCACACCUGCCUGGCUCCAGCUAUGGAUCCUCCAUCCACUCUGCUCUGACCACCUGCAUCUUUGCCUGAACUCCAGGGUAGAGUGGUGCUGCUUCUUGGAAAAAUUGAAAAAGGGCCCCGUGGCUUCUCCACCCCUGUGCUUGUCUGAGCCUGGUGUUUCAUUUCCAUGGGUUCCACCACUGAUUUGGGAAGGAAAGAGCGUCUUUCUCCAUCGAGGACGUAGGCAGCGGGGACCCACUGUGGGGCUUGCUGAAGAGGUGGGGGGAUUGGAUUGUGGUGGGGCUUCACUGCUUCACCUCUGAGCCUCUCUUUGAAAACAAAACAAAAACAAAAACAAACAAACAAAAAAAAACAUUGUAUUAUAGUUGAUUUACAAUGUUCUGUCCAUUUCUGCUGUACAGCAAAGGGACCCAGUUAGUUACACAUAUACAUACCUUCUUUUUCUCACAUUAUCCUCCAUCAUGUUCCAUCACAAGUGAUUGGAUAUAGCUCCCUGUGCUAUACAGCAGUCUGAGCCUCUCUUUUUUUUUUUUUUUUUUGUCUUUUGUCUUUUUGUCUUUUGUUGUUCUUGUUGUUGCUAUUUCUUGGGCCGCUCCCGCGGCAUAUGGAGGUUCCCAGGCUAGGGGUUGAAUCGGAGCUGUAGCCACCGGCCUACGCCAGAGCCACAGCAACGCAGGAUCUGAGCCGCAUCUGCAACCUACACCACAGCUCACGGCAACGCCGGAUCGUUAACCCACUGAGCAAGGGCAGGGACCGAACCCGCAACCUCAUGAUUCCUAGUCGGAUUCGUUAACCACUGCGUCACGACGGGAACUCCCUGAGCCUCUCUUAAUGCCUUGGAACAGGGCUGCCUGCUUCAUAGACACAGUGUACAGCCCAAGGGCACAGGGCCUGCUCCGUUCUGAGGGUUGGGGCACAGGCACUGGUGGUUGGCAGGGGCUGCGAGAAAGCCCCCAAGUGGCUUCCUGGGGCCACCCUGGCAAAGUACCACAGGCUGGGGGCUUAAAACUACAGAAGUGCAUCCUCUCAUAUUCCAGAGGCCAAGUACCAAGACCAAGGUAAAGCAGGGCCCCCCCUCUCAGAAGGCUCCAGGGGAGGGUUCUUCCUGCCUCUUCAGCCUCUGGUGGUUUCCAGCAUCCCUGGUGUCCUUGGCUUAUAGAUGCACCACCCAAGUCGCUGCCUCUGAUUUCACUUGGCCUCUCCCUGUAUGUGUGUCUCCUCUCCUCAUGCAGUCACCAGUCACUGGAUUUAGCGACACCACCACCCCCCCCCCCGCCCCGCUCCCGACUCCGGUAUGACCUCAUCUUAACUAAUUACAUCUUCAGUGACCCGAUUUCCAAAUAAGGUCCCAUUCCCAAGGGUCAGGGGUCAGGACUGGAGUGUGUCUUUGGGGGAUAUGGUUUAACCCACAGCACUCCUGGCUCUGUGUGCCCUUCGUAGCCACGGGGUGGGUCCCAGAGGGUACCUGGUACCCAUGGUGCUGGGAUUUCAACACCCUGGGCUAGAGAGAAGCCAGAGGGCUCUGGGGCUCCCUCCCCACCUCUGAGGGACCGUGUGCUUCCUAGACAUUUCAGGGCCCUGCUCCCUGUCACCCUAGAGUCUUUCUGUGGGGCUCCCCUUACAGCCUCCGGUAUGGCCAGUGCUGCCCGGGGGGCCCCGGCUAAUGGCCCAGUAGGGUGCAGGGGGCUUUUAUCUGCAGCCCACACUGCUUUUUUUUUUUUUUUUUUUUUUUUUUUUUUUGGUCUAUUUGCUAUUUCUUGGGCCGCUCCUGCGGCAUAUGGAGGUUCCCAGGCUAGGGUUUGAAUCAGAGCCGUAGCCACUGGACUAUGCCAGAGCCACAGCAAUGUGGGAUCUGAGCCGCGUCUGCAACCUACACCACAGCUCACGGCAACGCCGGAUCAUUAACCCACUGAGCAAGGGCAGGGAUCGAACCCGCAACCUCAUGGUUCCUAGUCGGAUUCGUUAACCACUGCGCCACGACGGGAACUCCCCACACUGCUUUGUGAACAGAGCCUGAGUCAGCCACACCUGAGCAGGGCCAGAGCCACCUGCACCCCCCAGCAUCCUCAGCCCAGGCUUGCACGCUUCCACGCACAGGGCACUUAAUCCUGGAGUCCUGAAGGCCUUUGAGCAGCUUUUGCUGUAUGGCGUGGUGACACGGCUGAAUCUCAGGGACCCAGGUCCCUGCCACCAUCCAAGGUGUAGCCUGGAGCGCACAUUUCACAUCCCAUACUGAUGAGAUGGGGCUGAGAGCUCCCGGGAGUUCGAAGGAGGAUUGCAGGCACUGACACAGGCCUGGCCCAUGCAGGGCUCAUCAUUAAUCAUAGUGGUCACACAUGGAAACUCUCCAGCUCCCUGGACCUUGUCUGUCCCUGAGGGUGCCACACCUCUGCUUUGUGCAGCCUGCAGAUGUCCCAGGCAGAGACUGCCCAGAGUGAGCAGAGCUAAACACUCGCCCCAGGUGUAGAAUUGAAGGGGACACUAGGAAACACUGUCACCGUUGCUAUGUUGUAGCCUGAUGUAGCAAUAUGUCCUAAAAAUCUAAGUUCAUGCCCCAAAAAAUCCAUGGUGAAGGUUAAAAAUUUCAGUUACAAAGAGGAUUGCUUCGCCCUAAUCCCAGCCCUAUCAGAUCCUGUCUCUAAUGAAAACCUUGACCUCUGAUUCAUCAUGGAUAUUUUGCAUUCAUUUUGACUUUUUAAAGAAAUAUUGCAUGAAAUAUGUGAUCAUUGGGAGGUCCCUGGUGGCUCAGUGGGUUAAGGAUCCAGUGUUGUUACUGCUUUGGUGAGGGUUCAAUCCCUGGCCCAGGAACUUCCACAUACCACUGAUGCAGUAAAAAAAAAAAAAAAAAAUGUGAUCACAGUGACAGUUUUCAGAUUUCAUGCUUGGGGCCAGUGCCCUGCCAUCCAUACCCCAGCCCAGCCGACAGGAGCAAUAAUGACCGUGAAGAUGAUUAUUUGAAACCCGAUACUUCCCAGUGGUCACCAGUUCCCCCAGCCUCGGUCCUUUCAGGCUCUUGGUUAGAGAAGCACGGGUCCACACCCCAUUUUCCUGACAGGGGGUCUAGGGCUCAGUUGCACCAGGUCCCCUGGGAUAUACACGUGUAUGGGGAUCACAGCAGAGCCACUGCCACCAGACUCAGGUGUCAGGACAGUGGCUCUGGCCUCGUGCUGCGGGAUUAGGUCCCUGUGCUGCAGCACCUGCAGACACAGAGCUCUGGCCAGUGACGUCAGCCAGCUCCAGCCAGGCCUGGCUCUGCUCCCUCGCACCCGGCUGGCUGCCACACCACUUCCUGCCGACCCCCCUCGGCAGCCCAACAGAUGUUUAUCAGGUGCCUCCUGUGAGCCAGGCCCAGCUCCUUCUCUUAUUUUGUUCUUGUAGGAGCCCCAGGGAGCAGGUUCUAGGUGAGCAAACUGAGGCUUAUCAGCCGAGGAGUCCCUGAGUCAGAGAGGCCCAGGGCUGGUGGACAACAAGGCCAGGGUUCGAGCUCAUUUGUCUCCACCCACAAAGCACCUGGUGGUCCGUAUUAGUCCGGAUUCUCCAGAGAAACAGAACCAAAAUGAUGUAUAAAUAGAGAAAGUUAGUUUAAGGAAUUAAACUAGAGGCUGCCAAGUGAAGACCCAGAGCCCGUCACUGGAGAAUUCCCCCUGCUCAGGAGAGGCCUGGUUUUUGUUCUGUUCAGGCCUUCAUGCAAAUGCAUGAGGCAUGCGCCCACAUGUGUCCCAGAGCGUAGUCCAUUUUACUCAGCGUCCACCUGUUUAAGUGGCAGGCUCAUCCAGAAACACCCUCACAGAAGCAUCCAGAAGAAUGUUUGACCAUAUGCAUAACUAGGCAGCCAAACUGGGCAUGUAAAAUUAACCAUCACAUGGUCUCCUAGGCUCCAUGGCCACUUGCCCCCCUGGAGAGGACCCCUCAGUGCCCUCUGGGGCCAUCGCUACUUUCCCUGAGAGAGUUAGGUCGGGGAUAGCCAUGGGAGUUCGGUGAGAAGGUGAGCUGAGGAGGCAGGCUCUGAGAAGCCAGGUGCUCAGAGGUUUGUGCAGGUGUGUCCACAGAGCAUGAGUCGCAGCAGACAAAAGGUGGACACAACCCCAGCCCACCAGUGGAUGAGGAACAUCACUCAGCCUGAAAAGGAGAGAAGUACCGACAGCUGGUUCCACAUGGAUAGACCUUGAGACCACGAUGCUCAGUGAGAGAAGCAGACACAGAAGGACAUACAGUAUGUGACUCCUCUGGCAUGAAAUGUCCAGAACAGGCAAAUCAACAGAGACAGAGUGGGUUCAUGGUGUCAGAGGCUGGAGAGGGGGUGGGAGUGACUGUUCAUGGUGGGGGCCAGGAGUUUGCCUGGGGCGUCUGCUCCAAUCCUUACCUGCUCCAUCCCCCUCUCAACAGCUGGAGCAACUUCUGAAAAUGUCCUUGAGUCUGUCCCUGCCCUCCUCAAAAACCCGCCAAGGCCCCUGAGCCCUCAGAAAAUCAAGUACAAAGUCAAAGCUUGUCUCUCACUUCCCUCUGCCUGGAAUUCCCCCC
rnacentral:lncRNA from 9 species